rnacentral:rRNA from 1 species
UACAGAGGUCUCAAGCGUUGUUCGGAUUCAUUGGGCGUAAAGGGUGCGUAGGCGGCGCGGUAAGUCGGGUGUGAAAUCUCGGGGCUUAACUCCGAAACUGCAUUCGAUACUGCCGUGCUUGAGGACUGGAGAGGAGACUGGAAUUUACGGUGUAGCGGUGAAAUGCGCAGAUAUCGGGAGGAACACCAAUGGCGAAGGCAGCUCGCUGGGACGGUACUGACGCUGAGACGCGAAAGCGUGGGGAGCAAACAGG